rnacentral:rRNA from 1 species
AUGGCUGUCGUCAGCUCGUGUCGUGAGAUGUUGGGUUAAGUCCGUAACCGAGCGCAACCCUUGUCCUUAGUUACCAGCACGUUAUGGUGGGCGACUCUAAGGAGACUGCCGGUGACAAACCGGAGGAAGGUGGGGAGUGACGUCAAGUCAUCAUGGCCCUUACGGCCUGGGCUACACACGUGCUACAAUGGUCGGUACAAAGGGUUGCCAAGCCGCGAGGUGGAGCUAAUCCCAUAAAACCGAUCGUAGUCCGGAUCGCAGUCUGCAACUCGACUGCGUGAAGUCGGAAUCGCUAGUAAUCGUGAAUCAGAAUGUCACGGUGAAUACGUUCCCGGGCCUU